UACGUAGGUGGCAAGCGUUGUCCGGAUUUACUGGGCGUAAAGAGCGCGCAGGCGGUCGUUCAAGUCGCGUGUGAAAGCCCCCGGCUCAACUGGGGAGGGUCACGCGAUACUGAUCGACUCGAAGGCAGGAGAGGGAAGUGGAAUUCCCGGUGUAGUGGUGAAAUGCGUAGAUAUCGGGAGGAACACCAGUGGCGAAGGCGACUUCCUGGCCUGUUUCGUGACGCUGAGGCGCGAAAGCUAGGGGAGCAAACGGG
rnacentral:rRNA from 1 species